rnacentral:ncRNA from 1 species
CGCCUCUGGAGAGCAGGUCUGCAAGGCCUCACCGAAGGGGAAAACCGAAGGGUCCAUCCCGGAGGUGAAUCUCUCAGGUACUUGGACAGAACGGG